rnacentral:lncRNA from 1 species
AUGUCAGCUCCAUGUUUUGGGUGGCCCAUCUGGUUAGUUCAGCUAUCACUGCUGGAAGCCCCUGCGGUUGUUCGGCUGCAUAGAUGUUUGCCGGGGGAGAUUGGUGAGGGGGGUCUACGUUCACUAUUAAGCCUACGCCCGUCCAUUCCUUUAAAGCUUUAUCCCGCCCUUAGACUCGUUACGCUUAAUGCCCACUUACUUAAAGACUCAUUGGCUCCGCGCUCUAUUCGGUCAGAACCCGGUUUGAGAACCUUCUCUCAUAGAUUCCUUUCACCAAGUUAUCGCCAGCAAUCAGCUCUUAUCCCUUGGUGUGGUGUCGGCGAGUUCCUUUCUUGUCUUGCCCAAAAACUGGCUUGA